rnacentral:misc_RNA from 1 species
AGCCCGCCCCGACUUGAGUGGAGCUCUUUUUCUUUUUGAGAAAAAAAGAAAAAAGCGGGAACGGAAGGCGGAUAAAGGC